GAGGAAUAUUGCGCAAUGGGGGCAACCCUGACGCAGCAAUGCCGCGUGAAGGAAGAAGGUUUUCGGAUUGUAAACUUCUUUUCUGUAGGACGAUAAUGACGGUACUACAGGAAUAAGCCACGGCUAACUACGUGCCAGCAGCCGCGGUAAUACGUAGGGAGCAAGCGUUGUCCGGAUUUACUGGGUGUAAAGGGUGCGUAGGCGGCUUUGCAAGUCAGAUGUGAAAUCUAUGGGCUCAACCCAUAAACUGCAUUUGAAACUGUAGAGCUUGAGUGAAGUAGAGGCAGGCGGAAUUCCCCGUGUAGCGGUGAAAUGCGUAGAGAUGGGGAGGAACACCAGUGGCGAAGGCGGCCUGCUGGGCUUUAACUGACGCUGAGGCACGAAAGCGUGGGUAGCAAACAGGAUUAGAUACCCUGGUAGUCCACGCUGUAAACGAUGAUUACUAGGUGUGGGGGGUCUGACCCCUUCCGUGCCGGAGUUAACACAAUAAGUAAUCCACCUGGGGAGUACGGCCGCAAGGUUGAAACUCAAAGGAAUUGACGGGGGCCCGCACAAGCAGUGGAGUAUGUGGUUUAAUUCGAAGCAACGCGAAGAACCUUACCAGGUCUUGACAUCCAACUAACGAAGUAGAGAUACAUUAGGUGCCCUUCGGGGAAAGUUGAGACAGGUGGUGCAUGGUUGUCGUCAGCUCGUGUCGUGAGAUGUUGGGUUAAGUCCCGCAACGAGCGCAACCCUUGCUAUUAGUUGCUACGCAAGAGCACUCUAAUAGGACUGCCGUUGACAAAACGGAGGAAGGUGGGGACGACGUCAAAUCAUCAUGCCCCUUAUGACCUGGGCUACACACGUACUACAAUGGAUGUUAACAGAGGGAAGCAAGACAGCGAUGUGGAGCAAACCCCUAAAAACAUUCUCAGUUCAGAUUGCAGGCUGCAACCCGCCUGCAUGAAGAUGGAAUUGCUAGUAAUCGCGGAUCAGCAUGCCGCGGUGAAUACGUUCCCG
rnacentral:rRNA from 1 species